UAGGCUUGAUAUAUACCUUUAAACAUGCCAACACGUAUUCUGGAAAUGGCUCCUCUAGUUAGAGGUCAGAGGUUAAACGUAACACAUCAGAGGCAUCGUAGUCACUGCAUCUAUCAACAGACAAAGCAAUGCCGCUGACUCACUAACAGAGGUUGAUCUCUUUAAAGACGUAUUACCCUGUGGGCCGGGCUUGGAGACAUGGGGACAAAAGUACCAUAAGCACUAUUUUAAAUGAAGUAAAUAUUGUUGUAGCAUUAAUAAUAACAACUUAUCUAAUUCACUUCAACUAGCUAUAAGCAAGAGGAAUCGGGGAGUCCAGGUCAAGUAUAGAUGGAGAGUUUAUUGCCACCCGCAAACGAGAGACAACAAAGCCGAAUGGUAUCCUCGAAUACACACUACCGAAUGAAUCCCGGACAGCUCCUUAUAUCCCCGAUUCUUACACAAUACAAAGUUGGACUUUCCUCAAAUAUAGAAUUUCCCAUCAGGGUCAUACUGUGUGGAUGUCAGCAUUCUCUUAUGUCUUCUGAGUCCCAAUGUGACCUUAGAACAUAUAUUAUCUUUAUACAAACAGAGAUGAUGCACACGUGUGAAUGUAAGCAUUGUCUUCAGAGAGUACAUCAAUUUGGGAGUAGACUGGACUCUCUGACUGAUGUGCCACAUGGCCCAUCAGAUGGGAAUGAACUGGACUUACUCACUGGUGUCACAUGACACAUAACAUCUAGGCUAAAGGUGAUCAGCUCUUUUCCACUUUAAAGUAUAAAGUGGAAAAGAGCUGAACCUGUUAUCACUUUAAAGUAUUAAAGUAUAUAUAUGAUAUGUAGGCCUAAUAAUAAUCAUAGUUUAACAUAGAAUGUAAGGUUAAUUUCUACCACAUAUCCCCCCUUUGAGGCUUGCCCAAGCCUCGAUAAAAUAAAACAAUAAUACCAUCUCCAUUAUUUAAAUUAUCCCCUGUCCCCUUUAUCUAUUAAUUAGUCUAUGAGAUUAUGUGCCGGCGAUCGGAUCAGACUAGCACCACAUCUGGCUACCCAGAAAAAACACCACUAAUCUAAAGCAGGAGUCUCAACCUGCAUCCAGGGAUCGCAACCUGGUGAUGAAAAAGAUUGCCAAAUGUGGUGCAUUAUGUCCAAUAUUUUUGACUCCCCCAAAGUAUUCAUAAAAAGAUCAAAAAACCUUUCUAAACAUAACACCACAAUGUUUCCACACUUAGAAUACAACCAAAUCAAAUGUGUACCUAAAAUACCCUCAUAAAAAUCAUAAAAAUCAUAACAAUAUGUUUUCAGCAUGCAUUGAAAAUCAUCAUUCUCCAAAAUAUGUGACAUAAUAAUAAACAAAAAAUUAAUAAUUUUAAAAAUAUGCGUCAUGAUAAUGUACCCAAACAUGGACAUUUCAGCAUUUGAAAUCUUGAAUUUG
ensembl:lncRNA